rnacentral:rRNA from 1 species
UACAGAGGUCUCAAGCGUUGUUCGGAUUCAUUGGGCGUAAAGGGUGCGUAGGCGGCGCGGUAAGUCGGGUGUGAAAUCUCGGAGCUUAACUCCGAAACUGCAUUCGAUACUGCCGUGCUUGAGGACUGGAGAGGAGACUGGAAUUUACGGUGUAGCGGUGAAAUGCGUAGAUAUCGUAAGGAAGACCAGUGGUGAAGGCGGGUCUCUGGACAGUUCCUGACGCUGAGGCACGAAGGUCAGGGGAGCAAACGGG